rnacentral:lncRNA from 1 species
ACAGAAUGGUUUGGGUUGGAAGGGGCCCUUAAGAUCAUGCGGUUCCAACCCCUCCCUGUAGGCAGGGACACCUCCCACCAGCCCAGGUUGCUCUCAGCCCCAUCCAGCCUGGCCCUGAGCGCUUCCAGGGAGGGGGCACCCGCAGCCUCGCUGAGCAACCUGUCCCAGUGCCUCACCACCCUCACGGCUGAAGAGCCCCAUCUCCCUCAGCCUGUCCCCUUUGGAGAGGUGCUCCAUCCCCCGAUCAUCCUCGUGGCCCUCCUCAGGACCCCCCCCCAACAGCUCCACGUCCUUCUCGCGCCGGGGACCCCAGGCCUGGACGCUGCGCUCCAGGGCACCUCGUGGAUUUCCCGGGGCACCAGCCGCAGCUCCUGCUCUUUGCACCACCUUGGAGGAUGGCACCAGAGCGAGGGGUCAUC